UGGGGAAUAUUGGACAAUGGGGGAAACCCUGAUCCAGCCAUGCCGCGUGAGUGAUGAAGGCCUUAGGGUUGUAAAGCUCUUUCAGCGGGGAAGAUGAUGACGGUACCCGCAGAAGAAGCCCCGGCUAACUUCGUGCCAGCGGCCGCGGUAAUACGAAGGGGGCUAGCGUUGUUCGGAAUUACUGGGCGUAAAGGGCGCGUAGGCGGCGCGGUCAGUUGGGUGUGAAAGGCCCGGGCUCAACCCGGGAUGUGCGCUCGAUACUGCCGCGCUGGAGUCCGGGAGAGGAUGGCGGAAUUCCCAGUGUAGAGGUGAAAUUCGUAGAUAUUGGGAAGAACACCGGUGGCGAAGGCGGCCAUCUGGACCGGCACUGACGCUGAGGCGCGAAAGCGUGGGGAGCAAACAGGAUUAGAUACCCUGGUAGUCCACGCCGUAAACGAUGCGUGCUAGACGUUGGGGGGCUUGCCCUUCAGUGUCGCAGCUAACGCGUGAAGCACGCCGCCUGGGGAGUACGGCCGCAAGGUUA
rnacentral:rRNA from 1 species